AUUUGCUGAAGCGAGGCCAUCUGGCCACGACUCAGUACCCGAAUUUCUUGACGACCAUAGAGCGUUGGAACCACCUGAUCCCAUCCCGAACUCAGCAGUGAAACGAUGCAUCGCCGAUGGUAGUGUGGGGUUUCCCCAUGUGAGAGUAGGUCAUCGUCAAGA
rnacentral:rRNA from 1 species